rnacentral:rRNA from 1 species
GACGAACCGUGCGAACGUUGUUCGGAAUCACUGGGCUUAAAGGGCGCGUAGGCGGGCUCGCCAGUCAGGGGUGAAAUCCCACGGCUCAACCGUGGAAGGGCCUUUGAUACUGCGGGCCUCGAGGGAGGUAGGGGCGUGCGGAACUUCCGGUGGAGCGGUGAAAUGCGUAGAUAUCGGAAGGAACGCCGGUGGCGAAAGCGGCGCGCUGGACCUCUUCUGACGCUGAGGCGCGAAAGCGUGGGGAGCGAACAGG